rnacentral:rRNA from 1 species
UACGAAGGGGCUAGCGUUGCUCGGAAUGACUGGGCGUAAAGGGCGCGUAGGCGGCGCAUUUAGUCAGGCGUGAAAUUCCUGGGCUCAACCUGGGGACUGCGCUUGAUACGGGUGUGCUUGAGGAUGGAAGAGGCUCGCGGAAUUCCCAGUGUAGAGGUGAAAUUCGUAGAUAUUGGGAAGAACACCGGUGGCGAAGGCGGCGAGCUGGUCCAUUACUGACGCUGAGGCGCGACAGCGUGGGGAGCAAACAGG